CGGAGGAUCCGAGCGUUAUCCGGAUUUAUUGGGUUUAAAGGGUGCGCAGGCGGGAGAUUAAGUCGGCGGUGAAAUUUUGCAGCUCAACUGUAAAAGUGCCUUCGAAACUGGUUUCCUUGAGUGUAGAUGAAGUAGGCGGAAUUUGUGGUGUAGCGGUGAAAUGCAUAGAUAUCACGAGGAACUCCGAUUGCGCAGGCAGCUUACUAAACUACUACUGACGCUCAGGCACGAAGGCGUGGGGAUCAAACAGGAUUAGAUACCCGGUAGU
rnacentral:rRNA from 1 species